rnacentral:lncRNA from 1 species
GAAGCUUGGAGGGAAGUUUGAUAAAACCUUCAUUGGAGGGGAUUGAGAAGAGCACGGACAUCUCAUUGGUGGAAUCAAGAAACUAAUUUCCUUGUAUUAAGUGCACUUCAUGUAUUUCUAAUAAGAUGACUUUCCAGAAAGUGAAAUUUGUUAUGUUCUGGCUUUUAAAAGGUGAAAUAUAAAUAAAUUUCAUAAUUUAUCCAAAAAAAAGAUUGAAAAACUAAAGUUG